CACAGAACCGGCAGAACCUAUCAGAGAAGAGAGGGCACGGUGCCAGUGUUGGGACGGAGGUGAAAGUGGGACACGAUGGAGACCCUGAGGCUUCUAAUCUGGUAUUCAAUUGUGGGCACUCCUCCCUCACGGGUGUGAAAUCAGAAUCAAUUUUGGAACUUCCAUUUGCUCCAAAAGAUGCCAGAAUCGGGACCAACAAAGCCACACGCAAUUUUGUUGUGCAAGACCAAAUGAAACCAAGGCAGAUGAUGUUCACCGUGAGAUUUUGUGAAAAGUUACAGUACAUAUACAAUCAAGGAACUUUUUUUCUGAUUCCUGGAUGGAAUCUGUGCCAAGAUUCUUUCUUUUGGUGUGCGGUUUGAACAGUCCUGUUGCAGACACUCCCCCACAAAUCUGAUGCUCUGUGGUUACUGACCAUCUUCAUUUGAGACAGACAUUAAAAUUCAGAUAUGGGAAAUUCUGUGCAGGGUCUAGACUGUCCACUACAAACUGGCGCUUCCCAAGAGCACUGCCAACACCUGGCCUCUACGGAGACUGAGCCCCACGCUGCUGUGGCUGUUGACCUGCAACAACCCCUGAGGAGAUUCAGGGUGGAGGGAGGCGCUCUGUGCUCCAGGGAAUCUGGUGGAACAGGUCUUUAGACAGUUGGAUGUUUUUAGGAAGAGAGUUUAUGAUCGCAGUCCUUUCAUCUCCUCACAUCUAGAGAAGCACCCUUCAUGGUGACAUCAGAUCCUCAUGACUAACAAAAAACCUUUUAUAAAAUGAGUGCGGCAUGGUAUUGAACGCCUCCUUCACCAAAACCAAUAUAUAAAUUGACUUCCCCCCACUGACACUUUUGGAGCAGUCUCUCAGAGCUAUCUGAGAUGCUGCCCUCCCAGGCUGCAGUCCUCACUUUGUCUCAAAUAAAACUUAACUCACAACUCUCAAGUUGUAUAUCUUUUUCAAUCAACAAUACCCUACUUGCUUCUGCACUUCAUUUUUUCUUGAUUUUGGGAAAGAGCAAAUAUUAAACAUUUGUGCCGAAUCAGCACAUUUAAUCAGGGUUCUCCCUUUGAAGCUCAGUUGGUAAAGAAUCUGCCUACAAUGC